rnacentral:rRNA from 1 species
UACGUAGGGUGCAAGCGUUAAUCGGAAUUACUGGGCGUAAAGCGUGCGCAGGCGGCUUUGCAAGACAGAUGUGAAAUCCCCGGGCUUAACCUGGGAACUGCAUUUGUGACUGCAUGGCUGGAGUGCGGCAGAGGGGGAUGGAAUUCCGGCGUGUAGCAGUGAAAUGCGUAGAUAUGCGGAGGAACACCGAUGGCGAAGGCAAUCCCCUGGGCCUGCACUGACGCUCAUGCACGAAGCGUGGGAGC